ACCUGGGGCGAGCCUCGCUCGUCCUCUGGCUAGCCCGGGUGUGAGAGCCAGCCGGGUGAGUGGCCCUGGGUCACGGCCUGACGGCCUGGGAGCUGACCUGUUGGGGGGGCCUCAGGGAUUCGGAUGACUCAGAGGAACCUGAGCUGCCUUGGGGCUGCGCGGAAGCUAGACACUGACCCUGUGUGCUCUCAGUGAAGGGCCCUGGCUGGAAGGUCCUGGCAACGGUCUAGGCUGGGAGACAAGAAAGUGGUUGCCUCACAGCCUAGGUUCCUGAGUGAGGACCAAACCAAGGAAAGUGAACACCUGGCGGAACCACGGUGAAUAGGAAUGAUACACACCUCCACCUCUGCCCCAGCCAGUGUCAUGGUAAAGAGACAGACUGCCUGUAUCUGGAUCCAGGCUCUGCUGAUUGUCAGCUGUGUGAUCUAGACUCAUCACUUCACCUCCCCGGGGAUGUUUCCUCAUCUAUAACAUAGAGAUGGCAACAGAACUCUUCUAUUUGCAUAACUGUUGUGAGGAUUCAAAAUGGUAAUAUAUGUAAAACACAAAGAACAAUGCCUGGUACAUAAGAAGUUAUUUAUAAGCAUCAAGCUAUCAGUAUGUUCCCUCUUCAUUGGAAUCCUGCCUUGGCCUUGCUUCUGGCUUGUGCAUGAAGGGCCUGGGGACCCUCCCCCUUAUUCCUGAGGGUUCUUUUGAAUACUAGGUGGGAAGACUGGACAGCAAGUACAAGAGUUUGCCAAGGCUCUCAUAACAAAGUACCACAAGCAGAUGGCUUAAAGCAACAGAAAUUUAUUCUCACUCAGUGCUGGAGACUAGAUAUUUAAAAUCAAGGUGUCCACAGAGCCAUGCUCCUUCUGAGACUCUGGGUAGAAUCUCUACCUCUUCCUGGCUUCUGAUGGUGGCCAUCGGACCUUGACCUUUCUUCGAGAGCAGGAGCAUCACGCUAAUCUCUGUCUCUGUUAUGUCACAUGGCAUUCUCCUUGUGAGUUGUAUCUUCACAGGGUGUUCUCCACGUGUCUGUCUCUUCUUUUUUUAUAGAGGACACCAGUCCUAUUGGAUUAGCCUACCCUCCCAAACCAAUGUGACCUCAUUUUAGCUUGAUUUCAUCUGCAAGACUAUUUCCAAACCAGGCCACUUUCACAGGUACUGAGGUCAGGACGUCAACAUAUCUUUUGGGGAACGUGAUUCAACCAGAAAUGCCAGGAGUUGGGAGACAUGACCUCUUGACCUCUGACUUUCCCCAUGGGACCAUAGACACUGGGACGCAGGUGAGCGGGGAGCUUUGGCUGGGGCGUAAGGACACCUGCUUCGGCUCCCAGUGUGACCCUGGGCACUCCCCUUUCUGGCCUUGUUCUUCUUCAUGGUAAGACAAGGAAAAGCACCCAACCAGGUUCUUGUGAGACCCAAAUAAGGUAGGAGGUGGUAUGAAGGGGCCUUCCCACUUGAACCCUCAUGCACAGAUCAGAAGAUUUUCUCUCAGCCCUGGACUGCUCUCCCAUCCUCUCCCAUGAGCUGGGCAGACUUACUGCAACGACAGCUUUUCUACUGACUCUGCUAAUUAGACGUGCCCUAACUCAGCCCCGCAACCGUCUCCAUCUCCGAGGUUCUCUCAUGAACUCACCCUUUCUCCUGGCUUCCUUAGUUCAGUUACUUGGCUCCCUAAGUCUCAGUUUCCUUCCCUGUAAAGUAGGAGGAUUGGUUGCCACCUCGUAUGCUAAUUGCAAGGAUUAAAUUUAGAGGCAAUGCAGUUAAGUCAGCACAGUGCCUGACACAUGGUAAAUUGAAUAAACAUUCAUUAAUAUUGAUUUGAUCAUCACCACAGGGAACUAGCGCAUACAACAUAGAGACAGUGCAUCCGAGUCAUUGCAUCUCCCCUUAGCCCUGGGCCAUCAUUCAUGCCUUCAUCCAGCAGCCUUCGAUGCGACCCCCUACUCAGUGUCUUGCUAGGCUUCUAAGAGGAUGGGUGUUUGGAAAUCAUGCUGGCUGGGCUUUCUGAGAGGCUUGGGGAAUGACUCCCCUCUCUCUGGUUCUCAGUCUUCUCAUCUGCACAAUGCGGGUUUGAGGCUGUGCAGGCUCUGGGAGGCCCCACCUGCUUUCCUGUUGGGAGAUUCCAGCCUGAAGUGGUCCUUGAGGGUACUUCUGACCCCAGACCAGGAGCUGUUGAGGAUGGGCACAGUGGCAGGGGUUCAAAGGCCAGGACUCCUGGUUCUGCUGCCUGCCCUGCCACUGGCAUGCUGGGGCAAUGCCUUCCCCUCUUUGAGGGCCUUUCCUCCUUCAUCACAGAAGAGCCUGGCUGGGAUGGAAGCCCUUCAAGUCUGUCUCUCUACAGCUUAACAACUAACCACUUUGGAACAUGCCAAGGUUGCCCUUGCCACCCAGCCUUAAUACCUGCCAUGCCUGCCACCAGGAGCUCCAUGCCCCUGUGUAAGCGUGACACUCCACUUCGCCUCAUUCCGGUCUCCAGGAGUCAGCAAAGUGUCCCCUUCCCAGCCUAAGACCACAUGUGUACACACAGCCCUGACACUGUUGUUCCCUGAAACAUUUAUCCUUACCGGACUUUGUACCCUUACUUGUAGCUUGAUGUUUCCCCGGUUCCCCCACUAGAAUACAAGCCUUAUAAUGACAGGGACCUUCUCCAUUGCAUUCGACACAGCACCCCAGUGCCUAACAUAGCACUAGGCACAUUGUAGGUGCUUGAUAUAUGGUGGAAGGAAGAGAGGAAAGGGUAGUCAAGAUCACUGAAGAAGCCUUUUCUUCCUCACCAUUGCUGUUGCCAAGCAAUAUUUUUUAGCUUGUAUUUAUCUGUUCAACCAAUAUUUACUGCCGGCUGGCUCUGCCCGAGGCAUGGAGCUGAGCCCAGGGGAUAAGGAGGUGAACCUGAUGCUCCAGGGCAUCCACUCCCAGAUCUUACAUGUUGUAAGGAAGAGCCAAACAAUAAACUCAGCUUGUGGUCAGUGCGAUAGCAGAGAACAGAGGGCCAUGAGACAGUGGACUGAGGUCAGGCUGGGGGCAGAGAGGAGUCAGAGGAAAGCUUCUCAGAGAAAGCGACUUGGGACCUGCAUGGUCCCUCAGGGGAUGGGGAGGAAGGCUGUGGGCUGGGUCCCCGGUGUGGACCAUGGCAUCCAGGGACAGUGCUCAGCCGUCCCAGCCUGGGCCACCUCUACCUGUGUCCCUGAGAAUCCUGUCUCCCCGGCUGCCUGAUUGGACCUUCCUGCCCCUCAACCAAGACAAGGCCCUCUCUCAACUCUGUGCACACACGGUGGCCAGGUCCUUUCUGAGCUGUUCCUGUCUCGUGGUGGACUGACAGCUGCCCGACCCACCCCCACUCCAUGGAGUACUUCCUCCCUCCCUCAUUUGACACACAGUGGGGUCAGGCUCUGGACCCCCUCCCUGACCUCAGCACUGCUGCAGCUUUCAGACUGGGCUCCUCUCUCUCCACCUUCACCUCUGGGGUGUCAUCUCUCUGAUUCCUUUCUGCUGUUUUCUCUCCUUACUCAUCUCUUCCCUUCCCCUGAGUCUCAGGUGCAGCCCCACAUUUCUUCCCAGAGUCCAGACCUGACAGGCCCCAGGUUAUCUUGAAGGACAUGUAAGGAAGCCAUUGCAUGCAGACUCCACUGAGGAAGAAGAAGACAAAGAUGGAAAAGGAAAAGAAAGAGACAGACAGGAAGAGGAAGAGAGGGGCUUCCCUGGUGGCUCAGCGG